UCUCUUAUCUCUUGGCUCUGUGCGUCUACUUCUCUACUCCCGUUUCUCAUCUCCCGACUCCCGGUCGUCUCUGCGUCUACUCUUCCAUCACAGCCCAGCGGCCAGCGCGACGGCGCCUCCACGGGACGACCGCUCGCCGCCUCCAUCGACCACCGCUCGCAGAAUCGCAGCCCAGCGCCUCUAUCACAGAUUUACAGUCCAGCCGGCAGCCGCCUCCACCAACCACCGCAGUCCAGCCGCCUCCAUUGGCCACUGCAGUACAGUCCCCUCCCAUGAAGCGCUCCGGCGGACGUCCUCCGAUUCCUCCGUCACAGUCCCAGGAGUGUGAUGUUUCUGUUGAGAUGGAAGAGAGAGAUACACCUAAUGAUUCUGCAAUACUCGAUCUCGAUGAGACACCCGUGGACUCUCCCAUUGAAUUAACUAGUACACCGAGUGGUCCUAGUGAACCAAGUGUUGGUUCAAACAGAUUAAAAUAUGUGGUAUGAGAGCAUUUUACCAAAAAGAUAGUUAACGGUGUAGAUAAAGCAGAGUGCAACUAUUGCAAAAAAUUGCUUGGGGGACAAAGUAAAAAUGGAACAAAGCAUCUGCAUGAUCAUCACAAGUCCUGUAAGAUGAAACCCAUCCAAAAUCUGAAGCAACAAACGUUGUUACAACAACAAUGGACGUCGGAGGGAAAAAUGGGUUUAUCUACUUUCAAGUUUAAUCCUGAGGUUACUAGGCGGGAGCUUGCCUGCAUGAUCAUUAUGCAUGAAUAUCCUCUUGCAAUUGUUGAUCAUGCAGGAUUUAGAAGGUAUACAGUCUUCAACCACUUUUCGACAUACCUUCUCGAAAUACAGUUAAGGCCGACAUUUUGAAGAUCUAUGAGGCUGAAAAGUUCAAGAUUAUGACACUUUUGAGCACAAAUUCAAGUAGGAUUGCCUUAACUACAGAUAUGUGGACAGCUUCGAAUCAAAAGAAAGGCUACAUGUCAAUCACGGCACAUUUUAUUGAUAAUGAUUGGAAACUGCAAAGUAUGUUUAUGAGGUAUGUCUAUUGUUUUCUAAUCUAAUGUAUGUAGUUAUUUUCAUUUUUAAAAAUACAUGAUCAUUAUUAGUUGUGUAAUCCUUUAUUUCGUUUACAUUUUUAGGUUUAUUUAUGUGCCUUGUCCACACACAACUUUAGCUAUUUCUAAGGAAUUGUUGAAAUCUGUUUAUGAUUGGAAUAUUGAAAGUAGGAAUGCCAACGGGGCCGUCCCCGCCACCCCGACCCCCGUCCCCGUCCCCGGCGGGGAGGGGGAAAAAUUCCCCAUCCCCGUCCCCGCGGGGAAUUUGGCGGGGACGGGGAAUCCCCAUCCCCGGUCAAACCUUAGUCAAAGUGAUAUUCUAGUACAAUUUUUUUAAAAGAAAAUACAAAAAAUAACAAUUUUAAAAAUACAAACUACCGAAGUUCAAAUUUCAAUCCAAAAGUAGCAAAUACAAAUUAAAAUAGUCCAAAUGUAUAUGUUCUUCAAAUAGUCCAAAUUACAAAUAGUUCAACAAUACAAUAACAAUACAAUAAAAGCAUUCUUCUCAAAUUCCAAUCUUCUUCAAAUAUUCAUUCUUCAAUCUUUCUUCAUUCUUCACCAUCUUCUUCUCCAAUCUGAAAAAAUAAUUUAAUUAAUUGUUCAAACAUAUUUUAAAGUAAAUCCAUUCAAUUUCACAAUAUAUGAAUAAUUAUAAAAGUUUAAUAUAUAUAUAUACCUCAAGCUCUUCAAAUUGUUCUGGACUAAUCCCACAAUCAUCAAAAAUUGUACCAUAUGCAUCUUUCCAAGUGGGCACUACAACAAACAAUAAAUAUGUAAUAUACAAUAUCAUAAAACAAUAUAUAAAUUUCAUUUAAUAAAAUUUGAUUACCUUGGCCUUUGACAUCUUUUAACAACCAACUUUGCGAACACAUUAACCCCUCCAACGUUUUCGGGUGAAGCCUACUUCGAUGAGGUGUCACCACCCUACUACCAGUGCUAAAAACUGAUUCUGAAGCGACAGUAGAAAUAGGUACAGCUAAGAUAUCCUUUGCAAUCUUUCGCAAUGUUGGAUAACGGAGUCCAACACCUUGCCACCAAUGUAAAACAUUAAACUUAGAAUCAUUACUUGGCAUUUUUUCUUCUUCAGAUACUUGUCCAACUCUGAUUUCAAACUCCUUGUAGAAAUACUCUUACCCUGAUAUGUAUCAAAUCCAGAACUAAAAAAAAACAUCAUCUUCAUAUCCACUCUCUACUGAGAUUU